GAUGAACGCUGGCGGCGUGCCUAAUACAUGCAAGUCGAGCGAACAGAUGAGGAGCUUGCUCCUCUGACGUUAGCGGCGGACGGGUGAGUAACACGUGGAUAACCUACCUAUAAGACUGGGAUAACUUCGGGAAACCGGAGCUAAUACCGGAUAAUAUAUUGAACCGCAUGGUUCAAUAGUGAAAGACGGUUUUGCUGUCACUUAUAGAUGGAUCCGCGCCGCAUUAGCUAGUUGGUAAGGUAACGGCUUACCAAGGCAACGAUGCGUAGCCGACCUGAGAGGGGGUCGGCCAACACGGAACCUAGGCAACGGCCCAAACUCUACGGGGAGGAAGAGGUGGGAAUCCUCCGGAAUGGGGCGAAGGCCGACGGGGGAAAGGCGGCGGGAGGGAGGAGGGCUUCCGGAUCGUAAAACUCGGUAAUAAGGAAAGAAAAAAUGGGUAGGAAACAAGGAACGUUUGGAGGGAACCUAAUCAGAAAGCACCGGCUAAUUACGU
rnacentral:rRNA from 1 species